rnacentral:rRNA from 1 species
AAUUCAACGGCCGCGGUACCCUGACCGUGCAAAGGUAGCAUAAUCAUUUGCCCUAUAAUUGAGGGCUAGUAUGAAUGGUUUGACAAGAGCAAUACUGUCUCUAUAAAAAUUAAUAAAAAUUAUUUUUUAGGUGAAGAAACCUAAAUAAAAUUAAUAGACAAGAAGACCCUAUCGAGCUUUAAAUUCGUUUAAUAAAAUAAAGAAAAUAGGGUAUAUUUCUAAUUAUGAAAAAUUUUGGUUGGGGCGACUAAGGAACAAAAAAAGCUUCUUUAUAUAUUUAAGAUUUAUGAGUAGUGAUCCACUAUUUAGUGAUUAAAAGAAUUAGUUACCGUAGGGAUAACAGCAUAAUCCUUUUUGAGAGUUCAUAUCGAAAAAAGGGUUUGUGACCUCGAUGUUGGACUAGAAUUUCCUGAAAGAUGCAGAAGUCUUCAAGG